UAGGCAGCUCUUGUGGUGCAUCACAAUCGUUUGAGAAGCGUCACAGUAGAGCAUUUUUCUACACGCGGAGCGGUGUUUUUAUUUGCAGGUUUCCCUUCAGUAGGAAAUUGCUGGACAGGCGGACCAGCGCACCGGAAUUGUACUGACGAAGCCACAAGCAACUCAAAGAAUCUGUUUAAUUGUUGCACUUUGAACAAUCAUGCUUCCACAAAGGCCACAGCAGAAACACAGCCUGAUGCCGAUUUCUGUGCCACGAAGUAAUCAAGGGGCGAGUGCCUAAUGCGGACGAAAUCGAGUGCAUCGAGACUUCUAACGACAGAAAGCUGAGCUAGUUGAUAUGCAAUGGCAAGCCCUUCCAUGUGUUCAAAGACAAUGCCUACGCCUAGCCACAGCAGCUCCCUCAUACAGACUCCGCAAGCCAAGAGGCCGUGGAGGCAAAUGCAGGUAAGAGGCAAGAAACAAUAGCACUGGUAUCGACAUUCACCUAAUUUCUUUCUAUUUCUUUCGUUUAGGCAGCCAGCACACCGCGAACAGCCACCUUGACUGCAGGUGUGUCACCCUAGUCGCCAAGGAAACAUUUGAUGGAAAGCGACAGGCAAUGUGAAGAGCCACUUCUCCAUGUAAACGAUACUCUUUCUCUCGGAUGACUCCUACGCCUCGCCACGCCAGCACACUUGUGCACAAAGGUGCCACGGAGGCACGUGCAGGUCAGAGGCAAGAAGCAGUGGCACUGGUGUGGACAUUCACCCAAUUUCUUUUUCUUACGCUGAGGCAGCCAGCACACCUCGAACAGCCACCUUGACUGCGGGUGUGUCAGUAGUUGCUGUUGUACAUAUGCUCAUAAUAAACUUCAGUAAACUUGAACUUGACAAUAAACUUGAAGGCAAAUGGGA